rnacentral:lncRNA from 1 species
AAAAGGAACAUAUAAAAGUAUUAAAUUAAUCCAAAAGAAGGCAGGAAAGGAAGAAGACAAGAACUCACAGGUGGAGCAAAGAUAUCCCACUGCAGUGGAGACUCCAGUCCAGCGACAUCAGAAAUUACUUUAAACAUCAGUGGACUAGCCGCUCCGUUAAAAGGCGGAGAUUAGGGGCCGGCCCGGUGGCGCAGUGGUUAAGUGCGCACAUUCUGCUUCGGCGGCCCGGGAAGUGGAACGUGCAAACUUAACUGCUGUGCCACUGGGCCAGCCUCAAGAUUUCUUUUUUUUUUUUUUUUAAGCUUUUGGAUGUACAUCAUAAUAUAUUUCGAAUUCUGUGUAGUUUACAUCAUGUUCACCACCCAAAAACUAAUUAUAGUCCAUCCCCUGACAUGUGAGCCUCAAGAUUUCUUAAACAGAACCAAAAAAGCACUAAUCAUAAAGGGAAAAAAUAAUUUAAUUUGGACUCUUAUGAAAAGGCAUGCCACAGACCUGGGAAGACAUUUGCAAUACACAUAUACCUGUUGAAAGGACUUUUAUCCAGAGUACAUAAAAAAUUACUAAAACCAGUAAGACACAACAGAAAAAUGGACAAAAGACCUGGACAGGCAUUUCACAAAAGAGAUCAUCCAAAUAGCCAAUAACCGUAAUAAAAGGUGUUUGACUUCAUCAGUCAUCAGGGAAAUGCAAACUACAACCACACUGUGAUGGCUCCUCACCCACCUGCAUGUCCAAUAGAAAGAUAGACAAUAUCAAGUGUCGGGAGCACGUGGAGCAACGGGAACUCUCCGAAGCUGCUGGAGCGGGUAUAAAUUGGUACAACCACUUUGGAAAACGAAGUGUCCUCUACAGCUGAGCAUCUCGAUGAGCCAGUGAUUCCACUCCUGGAUGUGUACCCAACAGAAGUACGAACAUCUGGACACCAAACCAGAGCAACGGGAAUGUUCUGAGGUGUGCUAUUCAUAACAAUAAAAAACUCUAAAUGACCAAAAUGUCCUUGGACAAGAGAUAAUCGUGGCUAUUCCUCCAGUAGAAUACGAUGCAAUGAUGGAAAUAAAUGAACAACCUCAACAGGCAACACGGACUACUCAACAAUGUUAGCAAAAGGAGCCAGACACACAAAGAUACGCACUGUAUGACUCCAUGUGAAGUUCAGAAACAGGCACAAUCAUCUGAUGGUAUCGGAAGUCAGCACCGUAGCUCCUCGUGAAGGAGGAGAGACGAGGGUGGUGUGCUAACAUUCUGUUUCUUAUUCUACAGAGGUGUUCCCUUUGCAAAAAUCCAGUGAGCUGUACACUGACGACUCAGGUACCUUUCUGUGUUAAACAAAAAAAUUAUUAAGGUGUAAUUUUUUUCAUCAUAAA